AGAUCAUAUAUAAUUGGAGUUAGAGCACUAGCACUUCUAACCAUAUGCAAUAAAAACCCUCGGGAACAAGGUAAUUAUCAUCAGCAGCUAGGAUGUCCUUAUAGUUUGCAAUAUUAUACACAUGCAGGGUGAAAUGCUUAAAAAUGAGUAGGACAACAAGGUAGGCCCAUGCUAUACUUGCCUUGGUUCACGUACUCCUGCUGGUCUUGCUGGUCCUGCUGGUCCCCAAAGAGCUCCGGACUCCCAAAAUACUCCUCACCGUCUAGGCUCGAUCAACACAUCACAAUCAUCACGCAUACCAAGACAAACAUGCAAGAGAAUAAUUUCUAAAGUUAGAACAGUACACCAGCAGUAAUAAAUUAAAUAAAAGUUUUCCAAAAUUAUGUACGUGCUGCUACGAUCACGUCAACGCGAAAUUCACGAAAAACGGACUUACGACGCGAAAGUUACGCUUUUAACGGGAUUUCAACAGCAAUCUACGGACUUGUACUUAACUAGGAAAUCUAACAGUGGUAAACCUAAACAACUGUGGUACCAACGCGAAUCUUACGAAAUUACGAAACUAACGCAACUUGAACGGAUCGAUUCGGAGUUCAAACGACGAUUUUAUAGCUGAAACAAUGCAGUGGCAAUUCUGUAAAUAAAGUAGAGUCUAAACGAAUUUAAAUAAAUGAAUUAAAUCCUGGAAAUCCCUCUGGCCGAGGACUGCGCGCGCGAAAAUGAGAUUCCUAGGGGCUCUUUAACAUAAUAUCAUACGAAGGGGUAUCAAGAGAUUCUGGCCGUUGGAUCAAGCUUGAACGUGCUGGAUUAAAAGAAAAAUAAAAAAAAGAGAGAGGAAGGGGACAACGCACAGGCCAGCAGCUACUGGAAGAACACGCUGGCCACCAUGGCCGGCCGCAAGGAAGCUCGUCGGAGCAAGAGAAUAAGGACCUACGGUGCAUGGUUUUCGAUUCCGUUUGAACUGGGAGAAAGAGGAGAGCGAUGCGAGUCCGUUCCAAACCAUAAACGCAGUCGAGGAGGCGGUUUCCGAGAAGGUUCACGGCGGCGCUCGCGGCCACGACGAAGGAACGCAUCGUUUCGCAAAGAAAACGGUCGAGAACGAAGCGGGGGAAGCGAGGAUCUCACCUACGUGAAGAAACGAGCAAGAAAGGCACGGCUC
rnacentral:lncRNA from 1 species